rnacentral:lncRNA from 1 species
UAUCACAGUCACAGAAACCCUAAGAUAUAUGGGAACUGGAGUUACAGAUGGCUUUCAGCUUCUAUGUAGGUGCUAACAAUCAAACCUGGGAUCCUUUCAAGAGCAGCAAGUGCUUUUAAGCUGAGUCACCUCUACAGCCCCUAAGAAUCUAUUACUGUGUGUCUGUGUGAGUGCAGGUGUGAGUGUCAUUAUAUGUGCAGAGGUCAGAGGACAAUUGUAAGGAAUUGCUACUUUUCACCAUGGGAUCAGAUUCCCAUGGUCAGGUGUGGGCAGCAAGCAAGCACUUUGACCCACUGGGCCAUCUCACCUGACCAAGAGUAACUUUGGUUUUUGUUUAUUGAACUUGAAAAGAGUAAAGUGUUGUUAGUCUGAUGGCUUUAAUGAGGAAAAAAAAGGCAGGGGCCGAAUAAUAGAUUUAGGAACCUUAAACUAAGAUAGGAUUGCUCAGAUAACCAGGCAGGACAGAAUAUACAUAGCAAGAGAGGCUAUGUAAGGAGGUAGUGUGCUGUUAUUGUUGGCCUGAAUAAAAUACCAGUACGGAGAAUCGGGAGAACUUACUAAAUGUCAUUGAGUGGACGCUGGGCAUGUAACUCUGUACAUGUGCUUAGAUAAGAGAGGCCCUGAGUUCAAGUCUUGGCUCAGCAGAAAAACUGUUAAUUUUUUUUUAAAUAAGUGGACAUAUGUUUCAGUGGUAGAGCACUUGCUGCCUAUCAUUAGUGGGGCUCUGAGUUCAGUCCUCAGCUUGGAGUUGGAAGAUAAAUGCUACUCCAGGUGUCACCUGGAGCAACUGUAAUAGACUUAUGCUUGUAAUCCCAGUUCUUCUCAGGCUGGGCCAGGCAACUCUCCCACUAAUGUGAAGCCCUCCUGGACUACAGAAUAAAGAUCCUGUCUCAAGAAAAGGGGAAGAAGAUGAUAACUGUUGUGAUUUAAGUGAGAAAUGUGUCCUCAGUUGUAGUGCUACCCAGGGAGUUACUGCUGGUCCUGGUAUAAUAUUACAUAACAGAAAAGUAAUAGCAGUUAUUUUAGGGAGAUAUAGCCUUAAUAAAAGAAGUAGGUCAGUAUGGUUGGGCUUUGGUGAUUUUUAGUCCUGCUUCCUGUCUCUGCUUCCUGUGUGCAGCUGAGGGAGAAUUUCUCGCUUUCCUGUUGUGGCCACCUGAUACUCUGUCACUCUUGCCAUUAUGGACUCUAACCCUCUGAAACAACUCAAAUAACCUUGAAGUUGCUCUUUUUAUGUUUUAAGAUAUAUUUUAUGUAUAUGAAAGUUUUACCUGCAUAUAUGUAUGUGCAUUUUAUGUAUGCCUCUGGAGACCAGAAGAGGGGGUGGGAUCUCUUGGAACUGGACUUACAUAUGGUUGUGAGCUGCCAUCUGAGUACUGGGAACUGAACUCAGGUCCUCUGAAAGAGCAGCUAGUGCUCUUAACCUCUGAGCCAUCUUUCCAGUGCCUAUAAAUUGUUCUUAGUCAUGGUGUUUUAUCUUAUCAUACAACAGAAAGUAAUUUGCCACUUUUCUUGGAUAAUGAUGACUCUUCCUUUUCCUCCUCCUCUUCUUCUUCCUCCUUCUCCUCCCUUUCUUUUUCUUGUUCUUGAUUUUGAGACAGGGCCUUAUUCUGUAGCCCAAACUGCCUCAAAGUACCAAGUGCUAAAAUUAUAGGCAUGGGCCACUCUGCCUGCUUUAGCAUUGAUGACUCAAAUUUUUCUUCAGUUAUUGAGUCUAAUAAAAGGGGCAAAAUAAAGGCUGGAGAGAUGGUUCAGUAGUUAAGAGAUUUGUUCUGAAUACAUAGGACUUUUGUUCAAAUCUUUAGCACUCAUAUAAAAAUCUGAGCGUGGUAAUGCAUGCUGUUAAUCCCAGUACUCGAAAGGCAGAGGCAGGAAGAUCUCUUAUGAGUUCCAGCCUGGUCCACAUAGCAAGUUUUAGGGCAGCUAAGACUUCACAACAAAAUAGUAGGACCUUAAGGGUCUUAGAGAGGGAAAAUGAUUUUUUUCGACAUGGCUGCAAGUACUUGUAAUCCCAGCAUUUUGGGAGCAGAAGACAAGUGUAUCCUUGAAAGUUGCUGCCCUGCUAGCUUAGCCAAAAAAUGGUGAGCUGCUAGUUCACUGAGAGACCCUCUCAAGAGGGAGACACCUAGUUCUUGCUUGCUCUAUCUUAUGCGUGUGCACACAUGGGUGAAUAUACCCACACUAUGGCACAUACGUACAAAUAAAAUGAAAAGUAGUAAUUUUAAAAAUAAUGUGUGGCACUAUGCCUACAUUAAAAACUAAAAACCAUUUGUAGCUUGCAGAUCCUGAAGUUUGUACAAUCUGGUACUUCACAGAAGUUUGCUUUCUUCUGGAAACCCUUCAGUAGAGUUUCUGUUUCUUUGGGGGGGGGGUGUUUACAGAGCAUAUGAGUCUCUGGGACUGGUCUACUAAGCCUAUCUUAAAAUCUUAGGAGGGCUAGUAUUCAUAGCCUCUUUUUUUUUUUUUUAAUCACAUCUAAAUUCUUUGCCUUUUCAAUUUCUGUGACUAGAUACUUGACAAGAGACAAAGGAAGUUUAUUUUAGCUUACAACUUAAGAAGAGAAGAAAUCCAGUCAUCAUGGCUGAGAAGGCAUGGUAACAGCAUCUAUAAGCAGAUAGAACAUCACAUAGCUUCACCAAUCAGAGAACAGAGAGUAGACAGGUAGUGGGGCCAGGCCACCAACCUUCAAGAUGUGCUUCUAGUAACUCUCUUCCUUCUGUGGGGCUUCCCCUGACAGUUCCAAAACAGUGCCAUCGCCUAGGGACCAAGUGUUAAAAUGCAUGAGUCUAUGGGGGACAUUUUACAUUGAAAACACUUGUUCUGUCUUUUCAACGUUUACCUUUUCCUUAGACUGUCCUGGGUUUUAUCAACUCCUGCCCUGACACACAGUAGUUAUGCUUAGUUUUAUUCCAUCUCUAUCUCUAAACUAUGGUCUUUCAAAAACAGUUAGUUUUAUUCAUAAUUUUGGUCUCAUAAAUACUUAAUACGUAAUGGGGUUAGUGGCUGUCUGGUUCAUGGACUUUAUUAACUUGAGUUCAUGGUCAGGUUGUAAUGGUGCCCUCUUGAUCUGUCUUGUUUGUUAGGAGCUAUGUUGUUCGUCCUUUUGUGUUUGUUUUUGAGACAGGAUCUCUAUGUAGUCUUGGCUAUCCUGGAAUUCAAUAUGUAGAUCAGACUGGCCUUCAGCUCACAGAGACCUGCCUGCCUCUACCUCCCAUGCAUGCCCAGCUGUUUAACCGUCUAAAACCAUACAAAUGCUAAAAUAAACAUCCUUGGGUAAGAGUUGAAAUAGAGUUUACUGUGCUGUCUAGUUAGCUCUGUCUAUGUGAUACACACCAAACUUGGAAUAGGAACAGGGAUAUGCUUUUAAGGUGUAUGUGAACAACACACAAAAGAGUUUACCUAACAGGAAUCCUUGUGAAUGUCUCAAAUGCAUUGGCAUAAACUCUUUACCUAAAAGAUACAGUUUGUCCUUGAGGCUAAUUAACUUAACAUGUUCUGGUUGUGCAUCUACCUACCCUAUGUAUUUGCUUUUCUUGUCUGUAAAAUGGAGAUAUCAGAAUCUGUGCCUCUGGAUUAUUUAGUGAUUAAAUAGCAUCACCAAGAGACCCCAAACCACAAGCUUGGUGGUAUAUCCCUGUAGUUCCAGCAUUUAGAAAAUGGAAGCAGAAGAAUUGUAAGCUAAAGGCCAACCUAGGCUAUACAUAGUGAAAUCAUUUUCAAAACGAUUUGGGGUUGGAGAGAUGUCGCAGCUUUUUAGAGUACUUUGUUGCUUGUCACCUUUUGGGUUUUUCUAUGUAUGCCCUAGUUCCUGAAUAAUGACACAAAGGCUUUUAUAUUUUAUUAAUAAAGGCCUAGGUCUUAAGCUAAGCUUGUUCUUCAACUAGCUCUUAACUUAUAUUAACCCAUUUAUACUAUUCUGUGUCUGCCACAUGGCUGUUGCCGCUCCUCAGUUUCAUGCACCUACUUCUUCUGUGUGACAAAGCUCCAACACCUGACUCUUUCCCAGACCAUCCACUUUCUGGCUUUGCUGUAGGCCAUUAGCUCUUCAAUAAACCAAUCAGAAGGCACCUUAAGCAGGCAAGGAAGGACAGAUACACAUCUUCAUACAGUGUACAAAACAUUCCUCCAGCAGUUGCUCUUGCAGAGGAUCUGUCCAGUUCUCAGCACCUACACAGCGGCUCACAGUCAUCCACAACUCAAAUGCUUAGGGAUCCGACGUUGGCCCUCUGAAGAUGCCAGACAUUUAUUAAAGGGUACUUACAUACAUGCAGGGAAAAUAUCCAUACAUAUAAAAUAAAAUAAAUCUUUAAAAAAUAAAAAUAGAAAGGUUGGGCCUUCAGAGAUGGUUUCUCUGCUAAAAGCGCCUACUGUUCUUUCAGAUGACUCGAGUUUGGUUUCCAGCACACAUGUGAGGCAGUUCACAACUUACUUAAGCCCCAGGGCAUCUAAAAUUCUCUCCAGACACCUGCAUUCAUAUGCACAUACCCAUGCACUUGUGCACAUGAUUAAACAUACAAGCAAACCUUUAAAAUAAACACAAAGCGUGUUAAAGUGCUUUCUAUAAAUAGAUAUUAACUCUUUCAGUGCUGCCACUCUUGUCUCCAGGUGGACUGGUAUAAGCCACUUGCUCAUAGGUUUUUGUUUUGUUUUGUAUUUUAGUUUUCAAUUUAAGUAGUUACUUGUAUUACUAAUAAAAUGUAAUUUUAUUACUAAUAAAGAUGUAAGUUUGCCAAUUAUGAAAGAUGCCUUUUGAGAAACAAUUGUGCCCUUCACAAUGUAAUAGAUUGUACUACAAGGGCCAUAAAACAAUUCAGUUCUUUAAUUUAGAACAUUUACAUAAAGUGUAAUGUUGGGGAAAAUAUGCAUAAUGAGAGAGUGUAUAAUGUGCUCAAGAUCACAAAUUCAGUUCCCAACACC